GACGGAGAAGGCUAAGCUGGCCGGAUAUUGGUUACCGGUUUAAACGUUCGAGAUGAUGAGAAACGGCGAAAACGUUUUGAGUUGAGGCGUGAGUACGAGAUGCUACGGCAUUGAAGCAGUCUAUGUCAUACUUCCAAGAAAAGCUUGCACUGUCAUAAACAAAUAAUGCCUGUACCAUAACCGACACAGGUGGGUAGGUAGAGUAUACUAAGGGGCGCGAGAUAACUCUCUCUAAGGAACUCGGCAAAAUGACUCCGUAACUUCGGGAGAAGGAGUGCCUUAUUUAUAAGGUUGCAAUAACAAGAUCCAAGCAACUGUUUAUCAAAAACACAGGUCUCCGCUAAGUCGUAAGACGAUGUAUGGGGGCUGACGCCUGCCCAGUGCCAGAAGGUUAAAGAAGUUGGUUAGCAUUAGCGAAGCUGAUAACUGAAGCCCUGGUGAACGGCGGCCGUAACGAUAACGGUCCUAAGGUAGCGAAAU
rnacentral:rRNA from 1 species